rnacentral:rRNA from 1 species
CCUACGGGUGGCAGCAGUGGGGAAUUUUGGACAAUGGGGGGAACCCUGAUCCAGCGACGCCGCGUGAGCGAAGAAGUAUUUCGGUAUGUAAAGCUCUAUCAGCAGGGAAGAAAAAAAUUACGGUACCUGACUAAGAAGCCCCGGCUAACUACUUGCCAGAAGCUGCGGUAAUACGUAGGGGGCAAGCGUUCUCCGGAUUUACUGGGUGUAAAGGGGGCGUAGGCGGCGAUGCAAGUCUGAAGUGAAAGGCGGGGGUCCAACCCCGGACUGCUUUGGAAACUGUAUGGCUUGAGUGCAGGAGAGGUAAGUGGAAUUCCUAGUGUAGCGGUGAAAUGCGUAGAUAUUAGGAGGAACACCAGUGGCGAAGGCGGCUUACUGGACUGUAACUGACGUUGAGGCUCGAAAGCGUGGGGAGCAAACAGGAUUAGAUACCCCUGUAGUC